ensembl:snRNA U6 U6 spliceosomal RNA
GUGCUAUCUUCAGCAGCACACAUACUAAAAUUGGAGUGAUACAGAGAAAAUUAGCAUGGCCCCUGCAUAAGUAUGACAUGCAAGUUCGUGAAGCAUUCCACAUUUUU